UUGCUCUUUGGUUACUCUUAAAUUUGUUGUUCAAUUACCAUUUCCACCCCUGCAUUAUGCCGUUUUGCUCAUGAUCUGUUCUUCUCUUUUGGCAGGAUGACUGGAGUGGCAUUAAUUCAAACAGAAUUCAAUCACACAGCAAUGCUGAUGACAAAGCCCAUAGCCUAGAGACCCUUCCUCCAGGUAAGGUUAGGUGGCAGGACUUUGACCAGGACCUGUACGUGGGAGCUACAGCGGUGAGACCAGGGCAGGAUCCCUACGCCCGCAACAAGUUCAACCAGGUUGAGAGUGACAAACUCAGAAUGGACCGCAGUGUCCCAGACACCAGACAUGACCAUUGCCGUCACAAACAGUGGAGGACAGAUCUUUCUGCAUCCAGUGUGGUUAUCACUUUCCACAACGAGGCCCGUUCAGCCCUGCUGCGCACUGUGGUCAGUGUGUUGAAGAAGAGUCCUCCUCAUCUGGUCAAAGAGAUCAUAUUGGUGGAUGACUACAGUGAC